rnacentral:rRNA from 1 species
UACGAAGGGGGCGAGCGUUGCCCGGAAUCACUGGGCGUAAAGGGUGCGUAGGCGGCAAGGUAAGUUGCUGGUUAAAGCCCGGGGCUCAACCUCGGAAAGGCCAGCAAUACUGCCUUGCUUGAGGGCCGGAGAGGCUGGCGGAAUUCCCGGUGUAGGGGUGAAAUCCGUAGAUAUCGGGAGGAACACCGGUGGGGAAGUCGGCCAGCUGGACGGUUCCUGACGCUGAGGCACGAAAGCGUGGGGAGCAAACAGG